ACGAGUUAGGGUCUCUCCAGGCCCGACCUCCCAACCCUUUGUUUACCGAACCUCUGUUGCUUCGGCGGACCCGUCUCACGACCGCCGGGGGACCGCCGACAAGGCGUCCUCUGGCCCGCGUCCGCCGAUGGCCAACCACUUAAACUCUGAAUAAAUCGUGUCUUGUGUCUGAGUCUAUGAUUAAAUCAAAAACA
rnacentral:misc_RNA from 1 species